UAAUACGGAGGGUCCAAGCGUUAUCCGGAAUCAUUGGGUUUAAAGGGUUCGUAGGCGGAUUAAUAAGUCAGAGGUGAAAUCCCACAGCUCAACUGUGGAACUGCCUUUGAUACUGUUAGUCUUGAAUUAUGUGGAAGUAGAUAGAAUGUGUAGUGUAGCGGUGAAAUGCUUAGAGAUUACACAGAAUACCGAUUGCGAAGGCAGUCUACUACGUAUAUAUUGACGCUAAUGAACGAAAGCGUGGGGAGCGAACAGGAUUAGAUACCCUGGUAGUCCACGCCGUAAACGAUGGACACUCGUUGUUGGGAUUUAUUUCUCAGUGACUAAGCGAAAGUGAUAAGUGUCCCACCUGGGGAGUACGGUCGCAAGAUUG
rnacentral:rRNA from 1 species